AACUCCUGUUUCUGCCCCAUUUUUCGUUCGCUACCGUGAAAUAUUGGGUUCUGGUGAUGGAGAAGAACAAGCCUUGUGAUAGUCUUUCUGCAACUUUGAUACACCCGUGGUUAGGCUAUUGCAUGGAUCGUGUGGAUGCGUUAUUUGACUCGCUGUGCUCUUUUACCCCCUUGAGCAGUGGGAUUUAAUGCUUCGCUACAGUU
rnacentral:snoRNA from 1 species